UUUUCAAAAGAAUAACACUAAUAUAAAAUUUUUCAAGGAACUAUUUUCUAUUGAUCAUGCGUAAGAACACUACAUAACGGUAAGCUACGGAGUAUAUAAAGCCGCCAUCAAACGCGCACGAAGGCAUUUCCUGAGUCAUUUUCGAACGGAGAAGGCUGUAUCUUGCUCGGUGAUUUAUAGUCUUGUGUGUAGUUGUGCAACUUUCUUCCAUUGUUCUACAAGAAACACGAGCCAGAUACAGUCUCACCGUUUGAGAUGGCAUUGGGACGGGCGGAGGAACUUGCUGUUUGCAGCGAUGCUGGGCGUACCGCAGAAUUGGGGACCCCAUGUUCUCUAGUCUCUACACCUUUCAUUGGUUUGGUUUGUAAACUGUAUCGGAACCAAUGCAUUUCUAUUUGCAAUUUUUUGUAAUAUACCAAUCGAGUCCGUCAAACAUGUUCAAAGAGCGUUUGAUUCGAUAUUUUUUUUUUUUCAGAAGUAUGGCGGUUUACAUAAAAAAUAUGUACUUAUAUAGCUUAAAGAAAAUUUGUGUAGUCAAUUAAUCUAUAGAUUUAAUAGCGUUUUAAAUGUUUACUUAAUGAUGAAAGAAUAAUUUUAUGUAGAUUUUGUAAUUAUUUAUAAAUGUUAAUUAACAGUUUUGUAAAUAUUGUGAUACAGCAAAACAGCAGCGGAAAAAAUAAAAAAGAAUAAUAAAAAUUGAAAAUGUUAAUAAUUUUCCUAUGAUUUUUAAAUCGCCAUAUUAAUGCCAAAAAUCCUUUUCAGUCCAGCAUACUACAUAAAAUUCUGUCGAACGCAAGAGUGUCCCGCACGUGUGUCCAGGCUGUUGGUCGUCAUCGGCGACACUAUUUGGCCUGUCUAUAUAUGAGAUAAGGAAUGGUGAGAGGAUUGGUAUGGGAUAAACAAAGGGGCAAAAUCUUUGUUUUUAGAAAUUUGCACACCACGAUCAAGUCGUACAUAAACGUCUCAUGUUCGCGCUUCCGUAUCUUGAACAUCCGAGCAUCAACUAAUUCAAAAAUCAAUGUGAUGCGCGAUAUACAUAGGCUUACUGUGACAUACUGCAGCAACCUCGAGCAAGUUCUAUUUUGGUGAGCUAAUCCCUUCUGUUCGUUACCUGUGCAAAUAUAUUUUCUCAGGUCCAGAAAAAUUUUUCCAAUGUUUAUGCAACUGAGUUCUAUAUAUGGGUUUCCCUGGCUUAUUAAUAAUCCUGUUCAAAGUUGAUCAAGCUGGACACUAGACAUAUAUGUUGUCCCAUUUGAAUUAAAAUAUAUAAAAGUUUCAAGGUAUGGAGUAAAUUAAACACAUCUUUCUUGAAUUUAGAUGAUCCAGUAAGGCGAGUUAUUGCAAGUAGCACAACUAAUUUUAAUAAUAGGCAUGCAUAUAAAAUAUAAAAAGCUCAAUUUGAAUAGGAAAUUGCUAUAAAUUUUUACUAGUAUUAUAUUACAUACAUUUUUUUUGGGAGUCAUUAUUGGAUGCUUACUUUUCACAGAUUUUGAUAUUACUUCACUUACUCAUUGGGUGGUAGAGCAAGAAGAACUUCAUGUAUUAUUAGAUUAACAGCUAAAAAAAAAGAUUCCUGAUAAGUGAUAUGCAACAGGGUUAUGGAAGUAAAGAGACUGAUUUAUAUUACAGUUCAAUUGAUACGAGAAACUACAUUGGGAAUUAAUGAAUACUCUGAAAAAAUUUUUUAAUGAUAGUAGGGAAGCAGUAAUACAAGGAUGAGCAAGCAGGAUAUUUCUAAAUUAAAUUUUUAAGUAUAACAUGUAGAUAAUAUUUUUAUAUUUUGAUGUUUUUAAAAAACAAAAUUGUUUAAUGUUUUUAAAUUCCAAGGAAAUACAUCAUCAAUGAUUCUCGGACGUUAUUGGAAAUUGCUUACAAUUAAUUAUAUAAUUAUAAUUAAGCAAGUAAAGGUUUGAUUUGAAGUAAAGGUUUGAUUUGAAGUUUGUUUAAAGGAAUUUAAUUUCUUCUACACAUGGUUGCAAAUGCAAUGUGAAGUAUCAUGCUUUUAUAAUUGUUUUAAAUAUUUUUUCUUGAAAUAUUGUGGUUCGGGUGUUUGUUUUGUACUACAGGAAUACCCAAUUUCGUACUCAUGGUGUACAACUAAACAACUACAAGCAGUUAUUUCUAUUCCUGGAACUUGUUGGAUUCGUUGCAAAGUGGUAUGUUGAUGAGAAUGAUUUAGUUCUGAGUUGUAGGGGUGGGAGGGAGUUAUUAUGUUUCAGCUAAGCUUGGAUAGAGAGAAUCCAUUUAAUCGACGAGGUAUAUAAAGAUGCACUUAAAAUAUAUUUUGGUCCUAAUUGGAUACAUAUGAAUAACUUAAUCUUGAUAAAUAUCGCAUAAUUUAUAUAUCUAUUUAUAUAACUGCAUUUUUGACA